AGUUUGUAAUUUAAAUUCAAACUGAAAAUUAAAUAUUAAAUUUUACAUCAAAAUUUUAAAAUAAGAAGCCAAAUUUUGAAAUAUAAACUUUUUUAAAAAAUAAAAUUUAAAAUUGAGUGGGCAAUUCAAAGCAUAAAAAUAAUUGUCGAUUUGAUUCAAAUCAAACUUAAAAAUUUUGAACUCAUAAUUUAAAUUCCAAUUUGAAACCAUAAAAUUUAAUUUAAAAUUUUAAUUUAAAUUCAAAUCAAAAUUGAAAAUUAAUAUUAAUUUCUAAAUUUAAAAUUGUAGUAAAAUUAAAAAUUAAAGUUAAAAAAGUUAAUUUAAUUCUAUAUUAGAAAUAUAAAAUAUAAUUAAGAUAUUUUCAGAAUAAACAUUCAUUACACUUUGAUUUUAACUUCCAAUCCGAUCCAAAUUAGAAAGAGAGAUGAUUGACGGAUUUUCAUUUCACCUGAAAUCAGAACCAGAAUAAAACUCAUGAUAUUUGAGAAAUUUACAAACGAAAUCAUCUAUUCCGAUUUUAAUUUUUGGAUAAAAAAGGAGCGAACAAAACGUGUUCUUUAAUAAAAUAGGAUUCAGUGUUUUGGGGGACGAAUGUUGUAA
rnacentral:lncRNA from 1 species